rnacentral:rRNA from 1 species
UACGAAGGGUGCAAACGUUGCUCGGAAUUAUUGGGCGUAAAGAGCGUGUAGGCGGCCCGGUAAGUCCGCUGUGAAAGUCGGGGGCUCAACCCUCGAAUGCCGGUGGAUACUGUCGGGCUAGAGUGCGGAAGAGGCGAGUGGAAUUCCUGGUGUAGCGGUGAAAUGCGCAGAUAUCAGGAGGAACACCAAUUGCGAAGGCAGCUCGCUGGGACGUAACUGACGCUGAGACGCGAAAGCGUGGGGAGCAAACAGG